GCUGCUUUAACAGGAAGAAUCAGACAAGACCAUUGCAACGGUCGACUUUUCUCAUUCCUCUCCAUCUCCGAAGAUCAGAAACCGAGAAAAGCAAGAGAUAUCUCCAACUCCAGAUGACGUCGCGGAAGAAAUUGGAUCAUUGACAGACCGCUCUGGCAGUUGAAAAGCGAAGCAAAAUGUUGGCUGCUAAGCCCAACUUUGGCAUAGGACAGAAUCGGGCAAGUGGUCCGGAACCGCAAUUCUUGGUUCUUCUGCUGGUUUCAAGUUUGUGGUGGUUUAUUAAUUUCUGACAUCGUUUUCCCAUUUUUUAAGCAGUUAAUGUCCCAAGUUUUUAAGGUUUAUACAGAAAGUGACACUGCUAAAGCUUAUGCCGGGAGCAGGACUUACGCAGCAGUUAACGAAGUAUGGACUCAGGAGAACACAGCUGCUUUAAUGGUCAUGUUAUGUGGGCUUGUCGGCAUCCCACUUCCAAUGGAGUAAUCCCACAAUCUCCUAUGCAUACAAAAAGCUUAGCUACUCUAAAGCAUCAGCUUUUGCGGAAUAAGCUUGCAUCAACAGCUCGAAGUAGUAUACGCAAAAAUCAAGUUUGAGUGAAUUAUAUCAGAGCAUGAAAGUGCAUACAACGGAAUGCAGACUCCACUAGUCUACCAACUUCCAUCUGCUUUGGUAAAUCGAGGAGAUCCUUCCUGGUAAGAAUGUUAAAUCCUAGCAUGCUAUUUCCUUGUAACUCUCCUAUUUACAUGAUUGUGUAGUAUGUUGUUUUUGUGAA